rnacentral:rRNA from 1 species
CCUACGGGUGGCAGCAGUGGGGAAUAUUGGGCAAUGGGGGGAACCCUGAUCCAGCCAUGCCGCGUGUGUGAAGAAGGCCCUCGGGUUGUAAAGCACUUUCAGUGAGGAAGAACGCCUGGUGGUUAAUACCCAUCAGGAAAGACAUCACUCACAGAAGAAGCACCGGCUAACUCCGUGCCAGCAGCCGCGGUAAUACGGAGGGUGCGAGCGUUAAUCGGAAUUACUGGGCGUAAAGCGCGCGUAGGUGGCUUGAUAAGCCGGUUGUGAAAGCCCCGGGCUCAACCUGGGAACGGCAUCCGGAACUGUCAAGCUAGAGUGCAGGAGAGGAAGGUAGAAUUCCCGGUGUAGCGGUGAAAUGCGUAGAGAUCGGGAGGAAUACCAGUGGCGAAGGCGGCCUUCUGGACUGACACUGACACUGAGGUGCGAAAGCGUGGGUAGCAAACAGGAUUAGAUACCCCGGUAGUC